ACGAAGGGUGCAAGCGUUACUCGGAAUUACUGGGCGUAAAGGGUGCGUAGGUGGUUUUUUAAGUCUGCUGUGAAAUCCCCGGGCUCAACCUGGGAAUGGCAGUGGAUACUGGAAAGCUGGAGUGCGGUAGAGGGUAGUGGAAUUCCCGGUGUAGCAGUGAAAUGCGUAGAUAUCGGGAGGAACACCAGUGGCGAAGGCGACUUCCUGGCCUGUUCUUGACGCUGAGGCGCGAGAGCUAGGGGAGCAAACGGGA
rnacentral:rRNA from 1 species